rnacentral:misc_RNA from 1 species
GAUGAAGAACGUAGCGAAAUGCGAUAAGUAAUGUGAAUUGCAGAAUUCAGUGAAUCAUCGAAUCUUUGAACGCACCUUGCGCUCUUUGGUAUUCCGAAGAGCAUGCCUGUUUGAGUGUCAUGAAAAUAUCAACCUUGACUUGGGUUUUGUGCUCUAGUCUCGGCUUGGAAUUGGGUGCUUGCCGCUUUUACGAGCGGCUCACCUUAAAUGUAUUAGCUGGAUCUGUCUUUGAGACUUGGUUUGACUUGGCGUAAUAAGUAUUUCGCUAAGGACAUUCUUCGGAGUGGCCUCGUUUCUAGGACGCUUGUCCGCUUUCCAAUACAAGUUCCACCUCGUGGACAUGACUUUUUAUUAUCUGGCCUCAAAUCAGGUAGGACUACCCGCUGAACUUAAGCAUAUCAAUAAGCGGACGA